UACGGGGGGGGGGCAAGCGUUGUUCGGAAUUACUGGGCGUAAAGGGCUCGUAGGCGGCCAACUAAGUCAGACGUGAAAUCCCUCGACUUAACCGAGGAACUGCGUCUGAUACUGGAUGGCUUGAAUCCGGGAGAGGGAUGUGGAAUUCCAGGUGUAGCGGUGAAAUGCGUAGAUAUCUGGAGGAACACCGGUGGCGAAGGCGGCAUCCUGGACCGGUAUUGACGCUGAGUGAGCGAAAGCCAGGGGAGCAAACGGG
rnacentral:rRNA from 1 species